UCCUGAAACUGCAGCCUCCGGUACUGCAGCUACAUAAUAUUGUAUUGGUAGGAAACGGUCUGUCCUGUUAGCUGCCCUGAAAAUUGCCAAACAUUUCCAGCUAGUCUUCACGUCCUACAAAGCCAUAAAACUUAUGACAAACCAACAUCAGGUAUUUACCAACACUUAAGAGGAACUACAUUCGGUACUAGAGAUGGUUGACCCGUAAAGAUCCUGAUGGACUUGUCCUUCCCUCUUCCCAAGGUUUGUAGGUAUGGGAGAAGCAGACCAAGAAUAGCCUUGUAAAUGAGAAUGUGCCAAUAGUUAAGUCUACGGGUGGACAAUGCAGACCAACCAACCUGCUCAUACAAGGAGCAAUGAAUGAUGAGUAAGUGCUCUAAAGCUGUGUCCCUGUGGAAUGAAGACCCACCUACUUCCUGGUUUCUGGGGUGCUGACUUCAGUCCCACCUGUUGGUUCCCUCUGUUCCCGCUCAACCAAUGGCUGGUCACCACAUCGGGAUUACCUCCUGCUCAUAAGGAGAGCCCACCAGCUGCUCGAGGCAGCUUGUCACAGCCAAUUGACUUGUGUGCCGCUUGUAUUGACUGGGUAUCUUGUUAGUUAGCUCUGCAUUGUGUUUAGUGGAGAAAUUCCCUUAGGUCUGUGGUAGUCUAUUGGUGGUUAUGUUUAGUAGCCGGUAAUCACAGUAUCUUUUGAGUAUUUUUGGUUUGCGUGCAUUCACCAGCUUGUGCUUAACAAAAGGGUGGAGUUAGGGCCAGAGUCCACACUGACCGCCACACGUAGUAUCUUGUGUUAGUUUUCAUCAGGUGUAGUGGGUGCUGUGCUCUUUGUGUUUUGUUGUAAGAAUUAACUCUCUUUAAAUAUAUAGUUAGGUACAGUCCUCCUUUUGAGGACGUCUUUAUUUUAACUUGGUUUGUUAUUUUCACAGCACCCUCAUCCACCCUCCUUUUGUUUGUUGUUACCUGUCUGCAUCCCCGGUUACC